UUCUAACCGCUAGACCACCGUGGCUGUCCAAACAAUAAAUAAUGAAGGUCUCUGUUUGAGUGGAGAAAAUGGUACGAGGGCCGUAUCUGGACCACGAUCCAGGAGAAGCUGAGGAACCAACAGUUCUUCCUUAUUCAAAAGAAAAUUGAUCUGAAUAGUUUGCAAAUGAUGGUACAUGGAGAGCAGAAAUAGUGUCUGUGACCAUUUCUUUGCAGUGGAAGAUGAAAAGGGAAUACGAAGACCAAGCCCAACUUCAUCCCAGGCUGGAGAAAGAGCGAGUGAAACGCUGAGCUGUUUUGAGGCCCAUGUGUUGGACUGCACAUUUCUUUUUGUUUGAAACUGUGCCAAGCAAAACUGACCUUAAUUGGCAGACUGUAUUAUGGGGGAGACAAGUUAGUUAAACCUCUCUUUGUGUGCACGUAUAGCAGGAACAAACAAUUCUACAGUUGCUUGUCCGAGGUAAAAGAAACGUUUGCACGAUGGAUUCACAUUUUAAGGAAAAUAUAUCAAUAUCAUAAUAUUUUUUUCAAAAUAUGUGUCUAAAAAUAGCAAAAGAGCUGUAAAAACAUGUAAUGUUCCUUUCCUGGAACAGUUCCAAGUGACAAGGUCAAACUUUUUGUGUAAUGUGUAUUUUAUUUGGGUUUUUAACAAAGUUACGUUGUUUUAUCAAAACACAUGUACAACGUAGCUCAACUAUGGGAUUUAAAUCAGACCAGCAAGGGGAGUGGGAAUUUAAAACCCUAUUACUUCAAAGGCUAAAUUCACCCAAUAGACUCUUUUACACUGCGACUGUGUUUGGAACUUUUAACAUAGGAAAAUGUUUCAUAUAAGAUGUUUACAUACACACAAUUUCAGAUGCCUUACUAGACUGAUUUAUCAUCACCAUAAAAUUAAAAACUUGUGUAUUAGCUGUGUUAUUGUUUUACAUUACACAAAAAAGAGCCUUGACAGAAGUCGCAUAUUUUAUUAAUCUCGCUAUAUAUCGAUAUAAUAGUCGUACAAAUCGAGACGUCCGAUAUUCAUUCCUCUUGCAAUGUCCGUUGUGCGGACUUGUUAAUAAUUUCUUAAAACUGAACUUCUGACUCACCUUAUUUAAUUUGAGGAAUAUGCAUGGGGCUGACCUAUGAUAGUUGUAAUUAUUUUCUGGCGAACAGGAGCGCCACUCUUUGGGAUCCACGUAGCAUACUUUGUCUCCAGGAGAGUUUUCAUAAUCACAAUGUACUAUAUUUUUGCCAUCUCCAGGGACAGAACUAGGAUUCUUGUACACUGUGAGGAGAGGCAGAAGAGACACAGAUGUACGUCAGACAAUUCAGAUACAAGGUUCUUCCAACUACAGUGAUGUAAUAAAAAAAAAAACAUGUAGUUUGUUCACACUGUAAACUUUAGACACUGACAAAUUAUGUCAUGUGGAUAAGGCAUGUGCCUUAUCACGUCAGCUUUUCAGCGCGCUCUUUUGAAAAUAUAAGGAAAUGCUUCACGUGUAGUAAGUA